rnacentral:sRNA from 1 species
GCCAGGUGCAGUGGCGCGCACCUGUAAUCCCAGUGACUCUGGAGGCUGAGGCAGGAGGAUGGAAAGUUCAAGGUCAGCCUUAAUAAUUUAGUGAGACCCUAAGCAACCUAGCAAGACCCUGUCUCAA